rnacentral:rRNA from 1 species
GAUGAACGCUGGCGGCGUGCUUAACACAUGCAAGUUGAACGAAGUGGCGGAUGGGCGAGUAACACGUGAGGAAACUGCCUUUCACAGGGGAAUAACACUGGGAAACAAGUGCUAAUACCGCAUAGUGAAAGAUGUCCUCGCGCCUGCUUAGCGAGGAGGUGAGGUAACGGCUCACCUAGGUGAUGUGCAGUAGCCGGACUUGAGUUUGAUCUGCCGCAUUGGGACUUGUACACGGCCCAGACGCCUACGGGAGGCAGAAGUUGUGAAUAUUGGGCAAUGGCGCAAGCCUGACCCAGCAACGCCGCGUGAAGGAAGACGGUCUUCGGAUUGUAAACUUCUUUAGACAGGGACGCGGUACCUGUAGAAUAAGCCACGGCUAACUACGUGCCAGCCGCCGCGGUAAUAC